AACGAACGCUGGCGGCAUGCCUAACACAUGCAAGUCGAACGAGACCUUCGGGUCUAGUUGCGCACGGGUGCGUAACGCGUGGGAACCUUCCCUUAGGUUCGGAAUAACUCCCCGAAAGGGGUGCUAAUACCGGAUAAUUUCUUCGGAUCAAAGAUUUAUCGUCUUUGGAUGAGCCCGCGUUGUAUUAGCUAGUUGGUAGGGUAAAAGCCUACCAAGGCGACGAUCCAUAGCUGGUCUGAGAGGAUGAUCAGCCACACUGGGACUGAGACACGGCCCAGACUCCUACGGGAGGCAGCAGUGGGGAAUAUUGGACAAUCGGCGAAAGCCUGAUCCAGCAAUGCCGCGUGAGUGAUGAAGGCCUUAGGGUUGUAAAGCUCUUUUACCCGGGAUGAUAAUGACAGUACCGGGAGAAUAAGCUCCGGCUAACUCCGUG
rnacentral:rRNA from 1 species